UACGGGGGGGGCAAGCGGUUGUUCGGAAUUACUGGGCGUAAAGGGACUCGUAGGCGGCCAACUAAGUCGGAUGUGAAGUCCCCAGGCCUUAACCUUGGGGAACUGCAUCCGAUACUGGAUGGCUUGAAUCCGGGAGAGGGAUGCAGAAUUCCAGGUGUAGCGGUGAAAUGCGUAGAUAUCUGGAGGAACACCGAUGGCGAAGGCAGGUCACUGGGCCGCAACUGACGCUGAGGAGCGAAAGCAUGGGGAGCGAACAGG
rnacentral:rRNA from 1 species